GUAGGUGGCAAGCGUUGUCCGGAAUUAUUGGGCGUAAAGCGCGCGCAGGCGGUUCUUUAAGUCUGAUGUGAAAGCCCACGGCUCAACCGUGGAGGGUCAUUGGAAACUGGAGAACUUGAGUACAGAAGAGGAAAGCGGAAUUCCACGUGUAGCGGUGAAAUGCGUAGAGAUGUGGAGGAACACCAGCGGCGAAGGCGGCUUUCUGGUCUGUAACUGACGCUGAGGCGCGAAAGCGUGGGGAGCAAACAGGGAUUAGAUACCCUGGUAGUCCACGCCGUAAACGAUGAGUGCUAAGUGUUAGGGGGUUUCCGCCCCCUUAGUGCUGCAGCUAACGCAUUAAGCACUCCGCCUGGGGAGUACGGCCGCAAGGCUG
rnacentral:rRNA from 1 species